CAAUCUGAAGAGCGCCGCCGCCGAAUCAUCGAGUCUCAGAGAGCUGCAAUUGCCGCUGUUGAGGCUCCGGUGAGAUCAAAGCACCGAUCUGACGGUGAGAUCAACACAAUGAGGACGAAGAUGAGGAUGAUAGUGACGAUGCUGCGGUUACCAAAGGAAAUGAGAAGAUGGAAGAGAAGAAGGUGAAGCAGAAGAAGCCAAAGAAACCGAAGGUGACUGUGGCAGAAGCUGCCGCGAAGAUUGACUCGGCUGAUCUCGCUGCUUUUCUUGCUGAUAUAUCGGCAUCGUA
rnacentral:misc_RNA from 1 species